AUUGAACGCUGGCGGCAUGCUUUACACAUGCAAGUCGAACGGUAACAGGCCGCACGGUGCUGACGGGUGGCGAACGGGGGAGUAAUGCAACCGAACGUGCCCAGUCGCGGGGGAUAACUACUCGAAAGGGUAGCUAAUACCGCAUACGAUCUAUGGAUGAAAGCGGGGGACCGUAAGGCCUCGCGCGAUUGUAGCGGUCGAUUUCAGAUUAGGUAGUUGGUGGGGUAAAGGCUCACCAAGGCAACGAUCUGUAGCUGGUCUGAGAGGACGAGCAGCCACACUGGAACUGAGACACGGCCCAGACUCCUACGGGAGGCAGCAGUGGGGAAUUUUGGACAAUGGGCGAAAGCCUGAUCCAGCAAUGCCGCGUGCAGGAAGAAGGCCUUCGGGUUGUAAACUGCUUUUGUACGGAACGAAACGGCUCUGGUUAAUACCCGGGGCUAAUGACGGUACCGUAAGAAUAAGCACCGGCUAACUACGUG
rnacentral:rRNA from 1 species